rnacentral:lncRNA from 1 species
CUCUGUCUCUUUGACUCUGUCUCUCUCUGUCUGUCUCUGUCUCACUCUCUAACUCUGUCUCUCUCUCUGACUCUGUCUCUGCCUGUCUCUCUCUCUCUUUGACUCUCUCUCUCUCUCUGACUUCCUCUGUUCCCUCUGUCAGUCUUUCUCUCUCUUUGACUCUGUCUCUCUGACUCUGUCUCUCUCUCUCUCUGACUCUCUCUCUCUCUCUGACUUUCUCUGUUCCUUCUGUCAGUCUUUCUCUUUCCUCUAAGAUUUUUUUCCCUUUCUCUUAGAAUCUCUUCUACAGGCUUAUUUUUCUAGUUCUUUCUUUUGUAAUUUGUGGUUAAUAUCUGGCCAACUGUUAGUGACAAAUUCCUUGCCCAAGAGGAUCCUCGACACCUCGACCAG